CGCACCACGCUCGCCGGUGGGCGCAGCAUUCGUCUGCUGCGCAUGAAGCACCGAUAGGGACCUCACUCCCCCUCCCCUCUCGUUGGCUUCGCCGCUCUCUCUCUGUCUUUCCGUGUGCACGCGCGUGUAUGCACACCUGUGGGCAAGUGCCACGGGUGAAGGAUAACACGCAGACACACACAGGGCACGAAAGUCGGGUGUGGUCAUCAACGUCGCACACGCGGAGCGCUACUAGCACGGGGAGUCUGUGGUGAUAACAAUGCUGGUGCCUCAGCAUAGGCCGCAAGCGACUCGGAGAGCACCGCGAAGCCGAAUGGCAUCGGCGCGCCGGAGAUGCACUCGGUGAUGACCAAUGACCACAACACCUCUGGCAACCGCGAUGCAGCGAGCCGGGCUGGAAGUCGGCAAAGGUGACAGCAUCCGGCACGACAAACACGAAGAUAGCGAUAGCACUCCGGGCGGCGCCUAACGCCAAGCGCUGCUGGGGUAGGAAGGAGGGAGGCGAGGUGCGGGGUGUGAGAGGGAGGGUUUCCACACACACACACACACAGGCCGGCGUGGCACCAGCAUACGCCGGCGUCACCCGAGGCUCUCUCUUCUCUCGACAGCAUUCCACCGCCUCCCAUGGCGAGCGCCGCGCAGCAACAACGAAAGGGAGUCACGCUAGAGACGCAAGCGUAUGAGCGCACGCUGAGACGUAGCCGUCCUCUUGGAGGAGCGAGGCGGACAGACUCUAUGUGCGCUCGUGUGUGUGUGUGUGUGUGUGUAUCUGUGUCUGUGUCUGUAUCCGUCCGUGUAUUCGGGGUACUCUUUGUGCAACAGUACGGGGACGGGAGCGGGGGCGGUGCGUGUGCCUUCUUCCGUGUCUCUCCAGCCUUCUUCCUUGCUUGUAUGUGGUGCUGCACACGGGUGUCUGUGCCCCUCCCCCAUCACCAUCACCAUCACCACAACAACCAGCAGCCAAGAAGGGGGCCUUCGCUCGGGUGUGCUGCUGCACGCGCCCCCAUGGCCGCCGUCACCCCUCACAACACCUACAGCGAGAAGGGCACGGAGACACACGAGCAGAGGGAGGCGCGUACGGGCUCCACCCCCUUCUCUCACGCUUCGUCUUCUCCAUCACACAUGCACAACGGAUCUCCUUCCGCCUCUGCACACUGCGCGUUUGCCAGCCUCUCUGAAGUGGCGCGCUCCUCCGACCGUCGUUCUCUCCCACGCCUCCCUCAUCAUCGCAG
rnacentral:misc_RNA from 1 species